rnacentral:rRNA from 1 species
GGGACGAACGCUGGCGGCGUGCUUAACACAUGCAAGUCGAGCGGAAAGGCCCUUCGGGGUACUCGAGCGGCGAACGGGUGAGUAACACGUGAGUAAUCUGCCCCUAGCUCUGGGAUAGCUCCGGGAAACCGGGAUUAAUACCAGAUACAACCACUUUAGACAUCUCUUGUGGUGGAAAGAAUUUCGGCUAGGGAUGAACUCGCGGCCUAUCAGCUUGUUGGUGAGGUAACGGCUCACCAAGGCUUUGACGGGUAGCCGGCCUGAAAGGGUGAUCGGCCACACUGGCACUGAGACACGGGCCAGACUCCUACGGGAGGCAGCAGUGGGGAAUUUUGGACAAUGGGGGCAACCCUGAUCCAGCGACGCCGCGUGAAGGAUGAAGGUCUUCGGAUUGUAAACUUCUUUGGAGGGGAUGAAUGCCUGAGUGAAUAACUCAGGGUGACAGUACUCUCGGAAUAAGCCACGGCUAACUACGUGCCAGCAGCCGC